rnacentral:rRNA from 1 species
AUGGCGGACGCCGCCCCACGUUCCACCGCCGCCUUCCUGAAGGACGGCACCUUUCUCCCGGCGCGUAGAUGCCGCCUGUUCCUGGAGCUCUUCACACUGUCCGCCGUCCUCUCGGUGGCGCUCUACCUCUUCAAGCGCCUCGCUCUCGCGGGCGCCGCAGCAGAUGCAUAUCUCGAGUCCUACUUUCUCAGCCCGCACGACAUGGACAUCGGCGGCGUCUCACACUUCAUCGCAACCUGGCGGCCGAGCGAUUACCACCGGCUACUCGCACCGGCAUACCUCGUCGCCGGCAUCGCCGUCGGAUCAGCGACCUACAUCGCCACCGUCUCCGCCGCCGUCAUGGCACGCUCCGACUCCGGCGGCGAGGAGCAGAAGCACCACACUCUGCCCUCCUUCCUGCGCAAAGUGAAGAGCAACCUCGCGCGACCCGCCAAGAUCCUUGUCUUGAGCAGCAUCCUGAGGGUGGCGCUGCUGCUCCUCGUCGGAGAAGCGCUUGAGAUGCAUCCUACAGUCCGCUACCCCGCGACGCACCUCUACCUGCUCUUGGAAUUCGUCUGUUCAGUGGCCGUCGUGGCGUCCGUGGUGGAGGGGCCUGGCAAGGGCACCGCCCUGUGGCGCGCGUGCCGGCUCAUGCAGAGGAAGUACCACAGUCAGUACGUGCUUUACUUGGCAGGGGUGUUGGUGAUCAGAACAGCGAUUUUUCUGGUGUGUGUCCUCGUCGUCGCCAUGGUGGGCUCGCCGCCGAUGGGUGGUGUGGUGGAUGCGAGCUUCAAGUUCUUGUUGCUUAGUGCAAAGGAGGUGCUCUCUGUUGGCAAUGUGACCGGGUACUACUUCGCGUGCAGGGAGAGGGAUGAGCAGGAGAAGGACGCUGCGGCCCGAAUUUUGAUUAGAGAAUCUACUACUAGUAGUAGUAAAAGCUUAUUGCGUUUCUUGUUAAUUACGUUUCUACCUUGG